CUCCACUGUAAUCAGCAUGGUUGGUCUCAUAAGAUUAAUUGAAGAAGACUCUUACCAUAGCUUAUAGAUGAGAGAGAAAAAGAGCACGUGAAGGAUCUCGAGUUCUUAUCUGUGCCCAUAGAGGGACUUGCUUUUAUGGAAUCAACUUUUCUUUUGGGGAGUCGUGAAUUUCCUGUGCUAAACCUGAACAUUCAAUCAAGUUGAGGAGAUUUCAUGCCAGUAUGCAUCACGGAGCUUGGUACGGUGGCAGCUUAUCUAGGAAGUUAGCUGAACGAGGAGUCAAGCUUCUGGGUUUUUCUUGUGAUGAUGGUCAGACUCACAAGAGUGGUUCAAGGUUUUGGAUAUUAAAAGUUUCUAGAAAGUGUUGAAUGUCAAGAUUUGACUCUACAUGUUAUAUCUAACUUCAUGUUAGCUUAUCUGAUUCCAUGCGGAAGUCAAUUAAGCCAUGUAGUUCACUUUUCACCUCCUUUCUUGAUCAAAACAUUCUUGUGAAACUUUUUCAUGAAAAAGAAUGAACCUAUUUCUAUUUGUUUAAUUCUAAGUAUGUUAAAGUGUUUGUGGACGUUAAUCAUACGCUUUUGAGUUGCUAAACAGAUUGUUUCUCUAGAACUGUCCAUUUGGAUAAUUUUUCUACUUCUAUGACUUACAUGUAGGUUAUUUUGGUAGUGAGUUAUUCCGAAAAUGACAUUCUAAACAAAAGAUUGAGAUUCUAUAAAGAAGAGGGAAAAGUUUGGAGUUCCAAAUGGAUUCCAUGAAGGCUAUAAUGUAGCACCUUAAGGCUGAUACUUCAUUUUUACUUGGUCUUUUAGUACAAUUGACCAAGACACCUAUUAAUGCUUCUGUCCCCAUGCACUACAGAUGCCAAGAAAUAAACUCAUCUUGGACCAUAUCUGUUUAGUUAGAUAGAUCAAGCAUUUGCUGAUUUUAUUUGUUUUAACUGAAAACAAUGAUAUUCAUGAAACUACCAAGUUAUCUGAUGUAGCUGAUAAGAAAGUGCCUUAGGAAAUAUUGCCUGGACAUGCUCAAAACCGAAUUGGCAUCAUUCAGUACGGAUGGUUCUAAUCUUCAUGAAAGGUACUGAGCAACAACUUCUUCAAUGGAUUCUCAAGAUUAUUGCAGGAAUUCCAGUUCCAAAUGGCAGUUAAAAGUUCAUUUUGCUUCCCAAUUGAGGUUGUCAAAUUUUGCUGAAGAUAGUUCUAAUGUAUUGCUAAUUAGUGUUUUUUCAGAUUCCUUCCAAUAUUUUUUUAUGGUACUGAAGUAGCUUGGAGCAUAUGCUUCCUAAUAAUCUUUUUGCUUCUCCCACAGAUUAGCUGCAGACCAGCAAACUGUAUUCUCACUAGUUCAACUGAAGCUCGUGUUAUUUCCACAUGCUAAGGUGAGACGAUCUCAGGCAGCCAGCUUAAACAGUGAGUAAAAUGAUAGAUGUCAGUCGGUGGAGGAAUUGCUUGGACAGAGAAUGAGGACAUGUCAGUAACCGUUGAGCUUCUGUCACUGUCAGUACAAUAUUAAAAUUGAUGUCUUUUUUCUCAUAUGUUUUAUAAGAAAUUCAUGAGUACUUAUCUUUUGUGUUAAAGAUUGCAAGUCAUUUAUUUUAAAACAA